ACUAUUGUGCAGACGCUGAAUGAAGGCCGCAGACUUUGUUGAGUUUUCGUCCCUGAGAAUCUGCAUGUGCUCCUCGAUGUACGGAGCAACUAAGGUUGAUUGUUGCAAAACUGUGAGGUGCGCUUUACGAAAUGUCUCAACGUCCUUGAUCACCAUCGAUCUUCUCCCUAGUGUGCCCUUUCCACCAAGUCUCCCCUCGUGAUGGGAUUCGGGCACACCAAUCGGCAUAAGAUCGUCGACAAAGUCAACACAGAA
rnacentral:misc_RNA from 1 species